rnacentral:rRNA from 1 species
AGAGUUUGAUCCUGGCUCAGAUUGAACGCUGGCGGAAUGCUUUACACAUGCAAGUCGAGCGGCAGCAUGGACUUCGGUCUGAUGGCGAGCGGCGAACGGGUGAGUAACAUAUAGGAACAUACCCAGUAAUGGGGGAUAACUCCGAGAAAUCGGAGCUAAUACCGCAUACGCCCUGAGGGGGAAAGCGGGGGAUCUUCGGACCUCGCGUUAUUGGAAUGGCCUAUAUCUGAUUAGCUAGUUGGUGAGGUAAAGGCUCACCAAGGCGACGAUCAGUAGCUGGUCUGAGAGGAUGAUCAGCCACACUGGAACUGAGACACGGUCCAGUCUCCUACGGGAGGCAGCAGUGGGGAAUUUUGGACAAUGGGCGAAAGCCUGAUCCAGCCAUUCCGCGUGAGUGAAGAAGGCCUUCGGGUUGUAAAGCUCUUUCGGCAGGAAAGAAAUUGCCGCUUCUAAUACAAACGGUAGAUGACGGUACCUGAAGAAGAAGCACCGGCUAACUACGUGCCAGCAGCCGCGUAAUAC